AUGCUGACAUCAUCAUCAUCGUCAGGUUUGUCAGAAACCAGGACAGGACUGUUGGGGUCCAGAGGAACCGGCUCCUCGUCAGAGUCAUCUGAUAUGGUGAUGAAGUUCCUCCUGCGUGCCCGACGACCUACACACACACACACACACACACACACACACUUAUCUGUAGCACGUGUAUGCUCUUGCCUUGGCUUCAGAACCCCCCCCCCCCCACCUGCUUGUGCUGUACCUCGGCUUCAGAACCCCCCCCCCCCCCCCUGCUUGUGCUGUACCUCGGCUUCAGAACCCCCCCCUGCUUGUGCUGUACCUCGGCUUCAGAACCCCCCCCCCCCCCCCUGCUUGUGCUGUACCUCGGCUUCAGAACCCCCCCCCCCCCCUGCUUGUGCUGUACCUCGGCUUCAGAACCCCCCCUGCUUGUGCUGUACCUCGGCUUCAGAACCCCCCCCUGCUUGUGCUGUACCUCGGCUUCAGAACCCCCCCCCCCCGCUUGUGCUGUACCUCGGCUUCAGAACCCCCCCCUGCUUGUGCUGUACCUCGGCUUCAGAACCCCCCCCCCCCCCCUCUUGUGCUGUACCUCGGCUUCAGAACCCCCCCCCCCCCCCCUCCUGCUUGUGCUGUACCUCGGCUUCAGAACCCCCCCCCCCCCUCUUGUGCUGUACCUCGGCUUCAGAACCCCCCCUCCUGCUUGUGCUGUACCUCGGCUUCAGAACCCCCCCCUGCUUGUGCUGUACCUCGGCUUCAGAACCCCCCCCUGCUUGUGCUGUACCUCGGCUUCAGAACCCCCCUCCUGCUUGUGCUGUACCUCGGCUUCAGAACCCCCCCUCCUGCUUGUGCUGUACCUCGGCUUCAGAACCCCCCCCCCCUGCUUGUGCUAUACCUUGGCUGCGGUGGAUGUUGAAGCUGGCCAGGACGAUAACGUCAUCGUCGUCAGGUCUGUCCGCCAUAGUCAAUCACACUGCCUGGGUGACACGCUGCUCACAGACACACACUGACCAACAACACUCGACACCAUCCCCCUACACACACACACACACACAGUUAAUACCCUGUACUGUUCUGACAAACAGGACCCAGUAUAUACCCCAACACCACCCCAACACACACAGUUAA
rnacentral:lncRNA from 1 species